UACGUAGGGUGCGAGCGUUAAUCGGAAUUACUGGGCGUAAAGCGUGCGCAGGCGGUUCGGUGUGUCUGAUGUGAAAGCCCCGGGCUCAACCUGGGAAUGGCAUUGGAAACUGGCGAGCUAGAGUGUGGCAGAGGGGGGUGGAAUUCCGCGUGUAGCAGUGAAAUGCGUAGAGAUGCGGAGGAACACCGAUGGCGAAGGCAGCCCCCUGGGCUGACACUGACGCUCAGGCACGAAAGCGUGGGGAGCAAACAGG
rnacentral:rRNA from 1 species